rnacentral:rRNA from 1 species
CCUACGGGGGGCAGCAGUGGGGAAUAUUGGGCAAUGGGCGCAAGCCUGACCCAGCAACGCCGCGUGAAGGAAGAAGGCUCUCGGGUUGUAAACUUCUUUUGACGGGGACGAGUAGAAGACGGUACCUGUCGAAUAAGCCACGGCUAACUACGUGCCAGCAGCCGCGCUAAUACGUAGGUGGCAAGCGUUGUCCGGAUUUACUGGGUGUAAAGGGCGUGUAGCCGGGUUGACAAGUCAGAUGUGAAAUCCUGCGGCUUAACCGCAGAACUGCAUUUGAAACUGUUGAUCUUGAGUACUGGAGAGGGAGACGGAAUUCCUAGUGUAGCGGUGAAAUGCGUAGAUAUUAGGAGGAACACCAGUGGCGAAGGCAGUCUGCUGGACAGCAACUGACGGUGAGACGCGAAAGCGUGGGGAGCAAACAGGAUUAGAUACCCUUGUAGUC